rnacentral:sRNA from 1 species
GGCUCUACGAGCUGGUCAACAACACCAUUGCGAGCAA